rnacentral:rRNA from 1 species
ACUGCAGUAGAACGCUGAAGAGAGGAGCUUGCUCUUCUUGGAUGAUAUGCGAACGGGCGAGAAACGCGUAGGUAACCUGCCUUGUAGCGGGGGAUAACUAUUGUAAACGAUAGCUAAUACCGCAUAACAAUGGAUGACACAUGUCAUUUAUUUGAAAGGGGCAAUUGUUCCACUACAAGAUGGACCUGCGUUGUAUUAGCUAGUAGGUGAGGUAAUGGCUCACCUAGGCGACGAUACAUAGCCGACCUGAGAGGGUGAUCGGCCACACUGGGACUGAGACACGGCCCAGACUCCUACGGGAGGCAGCAGUAGGGAAUCUUCGGCAAUGGGGGCAACCCUGACCGAGCAACGCCGCGUGAGUGAAGAAGGUUUUCGGAUCGUAAAGCUCUGUUGUAAGUCAAGAACGGGUGUGAGAGUGGAAAGUUCACACUGUGACGGUAGCUUACCAGAAAGGGACGGCUAACUACGUGCCAGCAGCCGCGGUAAUACGUAGGUCCCGAGCGUUGUCCGGAUUUAUUGGGCGUAAAGCGAGCGCAGGCGGUUUGAUAAGUCUGAAGUUAAAGGCUGUGGCUCAACCAUAGUUCGCUUUGGAAACUGUCAAACUUGAGUGCAGAAGGGGAGAGUGGAAUUCCAUGUGUAGCGGUGAAAUGCGUAGAUAUAUGGAGGAACACCGGUGGCGAAAGCGGCUCUCUGGUCUGUAACUGACGCUGAGGCUCGAAAGCGUGGGGAGCGAACAGGAUUAGAUACCCUGGUAGUCCACGCCGUAAACGAUGAGUGCUAGGUGUUGGAUCCUUUCCGGGAUUCAGUGCCGCAGCUAACGCAUUAAGCACUCCGCCUGGGGAGUACGACCGCAAGGUUGAAACUCAAAGGAAUUGACGGGGGCCCGCACAAGCGGUGGAGCAUGUGGUUUAAUUCGAAGCAACGCGAAGAACCUUACCAGGUCUUGACAUCCCGAUGCUAUUUCUAGAGAUAGAAAGUUACUUCGGUACAUCGGUGACAGGUGGUGCAUGGUUGUCGUCAGCUCGUGUCGUGAGAUGUUGGGUUAAGUCCCGCAACGAGCGCAACCCCUAUUGUUAGUUGCCAUCAUUCAGUUGGGCACUCUAGCGAGACUGCCGGUAAUAAACCGGAGGAAGGUGGGGAUGACGUCAAAUCAUCAUGCCCCUUAUGACCUGGGCUACACACGUGCUACAAUGGUUGGUACAACGAGUUGCGAGUCGGUGACGGCGAGCUAAUCUCUUAAAGCCAAUCUCAGUUCGGAUUGUAGGCUGCAACUCGCCUACAUGAAGUCGGAAUCGCUAGUAAUCGCGGAUCAGCACGCCGCGGUGAAUACGUUCCCGGGCCUUGUACACACCGCCCGUCACACCACGAGAGUUUGUAACACCCGAAGUCGGUGAGGUAACCU